UACGUAGGUGGCAAGCGUUGUCCGGAAUUAUUGGGCGUAAAGCGCGCGCAGGCGGCCUUUUAAGUCUGAUGUGAAAGCCCACGGCUCAACCGUGGAAGGUCAUUGGAAACUGAAAGGCUUGAGUACAGAAGAGGAAAGCGGAAUUCCACGUGUAGCGGUGAAAUGCGUAGAGAUGUGGAGGAACACCAGUGGCGAAGGCGGCUUUCUGGUCUGUAACUGACGCUGAGGCGCGAAAGUGUGGGGAGCAAACAGG
rnacentral:rRNA from 1 species